GAAAUUUAGCUCUUGAUGGAGAUGUUUUGAAGAAGGCUAAUAGCUGUUUUUGUGCGUGAAAUUAAGGCAUGCUUUAGUAUUAGAGUGGGAAAUAGUAGACUUGAUUAUUAGUACUGUAGAGGAAAAGCUUUAUUUUGUGAGAAGAGAUAUUUGAUUUAUGUACCUUUUGCAUAAGGGGGGUUUUAAAUAUGCUUUAUGGUAAUUUUCCCGAAGCAAUUAGAUGGGCUAUUUUAAUAAGGGCUUACUGUUGCAUAAGUGGGUUGAAUGUUAAUUUAGUGAUGAUAUAUUAUUCAAAUAUUGAGAUAUCUGGUUCUUUCUUAGAGAAGUUUAGCUUAAUAAGCUUGAGAUUAAGUUUGGGAGGUCUUGUUGGGAUUAGCUGACGGGGCGAGCCAUAUAUGUGGUUAUACUGGUCUUAAAUUAGGCUUAAAAGUGGUCUAGGGGUUUAAAGGGUGUUAAAACCAAGAGGCGCACUUAGAUUUAUUUUGUGUUUAUUGGUUCGAUGAGGAAAGAGGGUUUAAAAGUUAAAAGUAAGUCGAUAUAAUGGGCGUAUUAGUAGCUGGUUUAAGGUGGCUAAAAUUGGUCUUGAAAUUAAUAUGAUUUAUAUCGUAGAAGUAGGUUAUUCAAAGGAACUCGGCAUAAUUUUAGGCUUUGCCUGUUUAUCAAAUACAUGGUUUUUUGUGGUUAUAUAAAAAAUCUGACCUGCUCGCUGACGUAGUGUUAAAGGGCUGCAGUAUAUUGACUGUACAAAGGUAGCAUAAUCAUUAGUCUUUUAAUUGGGGACUGGAAUGAAAGGUUGGACGGAGUCAGACUGUCUCUGGAAAAUUGAUGUGAAGUUUUCUUCUCUGUGAAAAUACAGAGAUGAGUUAAAGGGACGAGAAGACCCUAUUAAGCUUUAUAUUGAGUCUGGAUUUGAUGAGGGGAAUUAAUUUGGCUUUUGGCUUAGUGUUUUGCUGGGGCGGCAAGAGUUUGUAGCAAUUAUAAAAUGUAAUGAUGGCGAUUGGCGUUGUGGAGAUUGAUCCGUAUUUUUACVBNUK
rnacentral:rRNA from 1 species